rnacentral:lncRNA from 1 species
AGCUGCCUUUCCGCUGGCGCUGCCCGCCUUCGACCCGGUGUUGCCGCUGCGGCGGUGAUGGAGCGUAGACCCCUGAGGUCCGCUCUGCGCUGCUGGCGGAGACGAGGCCGCGGGGACCGCAGCGCCGGGCGACCACACCCUUGGUUUGAGGGACAAGCCUGCCUUUUGCGCACUUGGACUUUUCCCCACCCUCUUCUAAGUCUUAGUGCCUCCGUACCAGGUGACCGAAUAAACAACUGUGGUAGCUCUGUACAAUGGAGCGCUAUUCAGCACUGGAAAGAAAUGAAUUAUCAGAAAAGACAUGGAGGAUCCUAAAUGCACUUUGCUGAGUGGAAGAAGUCUGAAAACGCCAAAUACUGCAUGACUGCAACUCUGACAUUCUGAAAAGGACAAACCUAGUGGAGACAGUGGUUUCCAGGCUCAAGGAGAGGGAGUGAUGGAAGGCCGAACACAGAGGAUUUUUAGGGUCGUGAAACUAAUGAUGAAUACAUGUCAUUACGCAUUUGUCCAAACCCGUGGAAGGAACAACCCCAAGAGUGAGCCCUCAGAUAAAGAUUUGCCUGAGAUUCCCAAGCAUCUCAAUGCCGGUACCCACAGUUCUAUUCACAUUUGUCCAACGAAUGUGAAGAAAACAGCAACCAAAUGACAGCCACAGAAUUGCAUCAAAAUGAAUGGCCGCUCCGUGUGAGAUCAGGGCUCUUGUUCUCCUACCUCCGCGGCACCCGUGCCGAGGACACGACACACAGCUGGAGAAAUGUACGUGAGCCCCAGAAAUCAGGUCCAGUUUGCAUGCGCUCUCAUGACAGUACCACGGCCUAGAUGUUAAUAAAGAGAAAACAUCAGCACUUUUCUCUUGGAAACUUUGUAAUCUAACAGUCCAUGGAUUUAUCCCUCACAUAACUCCUAAAACAUAACUUAGGAGAUACUAGUUUUAAUUAAGUAUAUUCACCCGCGUGCCAGAAUUUGAUCACUUCCUUAACAUAAGAGCUGAAGAAACAGAGCAGACGAAACCGGAGGAAGAGUGCACGUGUUCUACCGCAGACACCCACUCCCAGGGACCGUGACAACAGCCGAGGGUGGCAGGGUUCCGCCCUGCCCAGAACGAGGGCUCGGGUUUGGUGCCGUCCCACGAGCCAGCACUGCGGAUCUCAGGGUAAAGAAGUGAGCUCCCGAGACUGUUUUCUAGCAGACAGGUCCCCUCGGUGCGUGGCACUUGGGGUGAAUUUUCAAGCUUGGACCCGUGAGAGAGGGCGGAAACAAAGCAGCAUUGGCUCGUCUCAGAGCCAGAUCGAUGUGGAAGAUUUUCCAGUUUGUCACUCCAACGGCUAGAAUGUGCCAGGAAGAUGGAAGCGUGUGGGCAGGAAUGGGAAUCUGGUUCUUUUUAGAGGACGACGUGGGCCCCAUGAGACCUAAGACCCAGGUCGUCUGAAGACCUAAGAGGGGCCGAUACAAGAACGUUGUGUGGCCCUUUCACUCUCUUAGUAGGAAUACACCUGCAAAUGGUUCUUUCCUUUUUUCUCUAUUCCUCCUCAGGGCACCUUCCUAAACCUCGGCCAUCCCAUAAAUCAAAAGACUCUCCUGAUUCCUCUAUGUGUUUUUGUUUUUUUCUCUAACUAGGGACACGCCUAACUCCACCACUUUCCAUGUCUGCCUUUCACUUUAAAAACUGUAGUAUGGAUUUAAAAUAGCAUUUGGGGAGUUCCCGUUGUGGCUCAGUUGGUUAAGGACCUGAUGUUGUCUCUCUGAGGAUGUGGGUUUGAUCCCUGACCUCAUGAAGUGGGUUAAGGAUCCAGCAUUGCCACAAGCUGUGGUGUCGCAGCUGCAGCUCUGAUUCGACUCCUGGCCUGGGAACGUCCAUAGGCUGCAUGUGUAACUCUAAAGAGAAUUGAAAAAAGGAAGGAAAGAAGGACGGACGAGAAAGAAAGCAGAAGAGGUCACCUUUGGGACAAGCUGAGAAAGGACUUCGCGUAAAAGGAAUAGGAAACCUGGAGAAGAAGCUGAAUGUUCCACGAUUAAAAUACGGACUCCGGUUGAGAAACUCCUGGACCAGGAAAAUUCUAACAUGUUGAUGUGUGCAGUGUGACUAAAACGUCUGUAUUUAUGUCUCUGGCUCUGUUUUGUUUCUAUGUAUAUUUGACCCUUCCCCCCCAUCGAAUUUGUGUCAUUUCAUUGCAUUUCGUGUCUCCCCAAUUCACCUCAAAUUCUCUUUGUAUAUGUAAUACCCCACCUCCAACCAACUUGUGAGCCACCCUUAGUUAUCUUUUAUUUACGGCAGAAUCAUCAAUAGAUGCGCUGUAAUAUCAAAAUCACUCUCAUCCGCCAUCUGUUCACAAUAUUCUAGAACUCCUUGGAAGUCAUAUCUUGUUAAAAGUCUGAUUCAUAUAAACCAGAUGUCCAGCACUAAGGAAAUGGCUUAGUAAAUGACGGUGCUUCAAGAUCCUGGAAUAUUAUGCCGCCACUAAAACUAUAAUGAUGCAGCCUAUGUUAAAAUAUAGAGUGGUAUAAUCUCUUAUGGAAAAAUAAUAUACAAAGUAUACAUACACUUAGAUUAUAACUGGGUUAAAUAUUUAUGUAUCAGGGAAAGAGUUAAAGACAAUACGUAAAAAUGGUACGUGGGAGUUCCCGUUGUGCCUCAGUGGUGACAAACCCCACUAGUAUCCCUAAAGAUGCAGGUUCGAUCCCUGGCCCCGCUCAGUGUGUUAAGGAUCCAGUGUUGCCAUGAGCCGUGGUGUAGGUUGAAGAUGUGGCUUGGAUCUGGUGUUGCUGCGGCUGUGGCCUAGGCCAGCAGCUACAGCUCUGAUUCGAUCCCUAGCCUGGGAACUUCCAUAUGUGUGGCCCUAAAAAGAAAAAAGAAAAAAAAAAAAAA